UACUACGGGUGCAAGCGUUAAUCGGCAUUACUGGGCGUAAAGCGUGCGCAGGCGGUUAUAUAAGACAGAUGUGAAAUCCCCGGGCUCAACCUGGGAACUGCAUUUGUGACUGUAUAGCUAGAGUACGGCAGAGGGGGAUGGAAUUCCGCGUGUAGCAGUGAAAUGCGUAGAUAUGCGGAGGAACACCGAUGGCGAAGGCAAUCCCAUGGGCCUGUACGGAAGCUCAUGCAAGCCCGCGUGGGGAGCCCACAGGAUUAGAUACCAGCGUAGUCC
rnacentral:rRNA from 1 species